CUCCUUGCAUGACAAGCUUAUGAGGUUUUGCAAGCUUAAAUAUUUCCACUAAUUUGCUAAGUUCAAUAUUGUUGGCUAGAUCUCGUUCGUUGCUAAUCUGGACAAGGUCCUCGAGUCUAUCAGGUGACAUAGCAACUCGCAAAUUAUUGUUUAUUAUUUUGACCUUGCUGUGUGUGCGUUCACGUGAUGCCACUGUCACAGGCAAGGUAGCGACCUCAAACAAGUCGGGAUGAAGGUGGUGUAGAUCAUCUUUGCUGAAAACUUCGAGCAAGGAGGGCAAGCAAAUCCAAGGUGGAAACUUUCUUUUGGACCCUUUCUCUAGACUCUUUCCUUUCCAUCUCUUCGCUGCUAUGAUGCUCGUAUGUAAUCUUGCAGUUGUUACAUUGAAUAUUCCAGUCAUAUAUAUGUACUCUUCGUACCAUUUCUUUUGGAAUGUAAACUUUCUCAUCGAUAUUUCCGAUGUUGAAAAAUCUAAGAUAGGUCUAACCGUCAGAGUCUAACCGUCAAGAUUCGAAAACGAAGGUUCUAUUUGCCUCCCUCACACACAAUUUCACUUGAUGGAUCUCUUCCUUCGAACAUUUUUCUCUUUCAGUUGUGUAGUGAUGCAUUCCAAGAAGCUAAUGACCAUAUGUUGCGCGAACAGUGCAUUAAUUAACAUAUUUCCCUCACAUCUCAGCAACAGGACCAAACUUCCGCAUCACACAUUACCUAUUGCACUUAAUUUGGGUAAUAUGUUAACCCAUUAUGAUGGGUUUCCUUCGGCGGUCGUAAUCAGUGCCUGCAAUAUGCUAAUGGUAAAUGCCGCAUAUAUGAAAUGGUCUUUUGUCAAAAGUAAAGCGAAGAUCUUUUAAUACCGGUUUUUAUUCACACAAUAAAGACUGAAUUUAUUAAGUUAUAUCUAAAUAACUGGACUGAUGUCACAAACGUACCCCCCCCCCCCAAAAAAAAUUUCUCACCGGAUUUGGACAAAUUAGAAAAUCGACCUUGAAGAGAACUGGGGAGGACGUGUCCUCCCCAGUCCUCCCCGUGGCGCCGCCACUGCAUAGAAGGACCAAAGCCAAAGGUCAAAUUAUUUUUAGGAAAUUACAGGGGGUUUUUUGUUUCAAAAAUAAUAACUCUCGAAGGUUUCACUUUCGCUAUAAUUUGUACUAACAGACGCGUGUAAAAACCAACAUAGAGAGUGUUUUAUUAGGUUUAAAGACGUUUAGACGAAAUUUAGUUUAGACCUAAUAAAACACGUCCUGCGAGUUUAUUAAACAGCUUCAAACACGAUUACAAAUUCAAGAAUACUAAUGAGGACAUGACUUGCAAUAGAUACUGCCUUACUAAUAUUCUUUAUAUAAGGAAUACUAAUUAGGAGUGGUUUA